rnacentral:lncRNA from 1 species
GGGGGUCUCUUUUAUAGAUGGGAGAGCAUAACUGAUUGAUAGCAAUGUCCAUAACUGUUUGGUAGUGGGCCGUUCAGAGCUAUGUGGAGUUUGUUACAGAGAGUAGUGGUGUCCGUUGUCGUGACUUGUCAGAGAGUGGUGGGACCACGUGGAGUUUGUUACAGAGAGUGGAGUGGUGUCUGUUGUCGUGACUUGCCGAGGAGUU